rnacentral:rRNA from 1 species
CCUACGGGUGGCAGCAGUGAGGAAUAUUGGUCAAUGGCCGUAAGGCUGAACCAGCCAAGUCGCGUGAGGGAAGACUGCCCUAUGGGUUGUAAACCUCUUUUAUGCGGGGACAAAGGUGUCCACGCGUGGCUGUUUGCAGGUACCGCAUGAAUAAGCACCGGCUAAUUCCGUGCCAGCAGCCGCGGUAAUACGGAAGGUUCGGGCGUUAUCCGGAUUUAUUGGGUUUAAAGGGUGCGUAGACGGGAUGUUAAGUCAGUUGUUAAAGUUGGGGGCUCAACCCUAAAAGUGCAUUUGAUACUGGUAUUCUUGAGUGAGGUAGAGGUAGGCGGAAUGCGUGGUGUAGCGGUGAAAUGCAUAGAUAUCACGAAGAACUCCGAUUGCGAAGGCAGCAUACUAGACUUCCACUGACAUUCAUGCACGAAAGUGUGGGUAUCGAACAGGAUUAGAUACCCGUGUAGUC